UGAGAUGAACGUAAGAAUUUUCAUUAAAACUAUUAAAUUUAUACAUUAAGAAAAAUAUACAUAUUCCAUAUCUGAAUAUAGCAAGAUGAAAUAAUGAAAUGUCAUCAAAAUUGAUACAUCAAGUUAUAAAUUCAUAAAUAUAACCAUUUAAACUUCAAAAUUGAUACAUCAAGUUAUAAAUUCAUAAAUACAACUUGUACAUUCAUCAAAACAACCAUUUAAAAUUCUCUAAACACAACACAUCUUCUUUAUUGGGUACUUCUGCAACAUGGAAAGAAACAUAAAAACUUGUUAGAUAUAAACUCAUUAAGUUUGUAAGUUUUAUCUGUACAAACAUAGGAAUUCUUCAAGAACAUAAAGCGCAUCGAGAACUCAAACACACUAACGUUUUAAUGAGUUUGCAGGUUUGUAUGGCCGAAACAUACGAACUUAUCAAUAUAAUCAUACGUUUGUAUCAGUAAACUAAAAUGACUAAUAUGUUAUUUAUCUCCAAAUAAAAUAUUACUUGCCUUUAAUUUAUCUAGACACAUAUAAUAUUAGUCUCUAAAAUUAUUCGCUUGCACAAUUAGAUUAGAGUACGAUGUGCCUCGAUAGAGUGUAAUUGUUUAAUAUUUUUAGUUUAUUGAAUCUCAAGUGUUAGCUUUAGUGACAAAUAAUUUACUUAUUUGCAUAAAAUUUAAAUCAAAGAUUAAUAAUUUAUUUAUAAUUGUUACAAUAAUGAAACGAAAUAAUAAAUCUCAGCCUAUUAUCUAAUUAACGAGGUUCUUUUUAACGUUAUGCUGAAAAAUCCCACAGCCACAUGAUCCCUUACUUUUCUCAACUAAAUAUCUCCUCUCUGUUUUAUAUAUUCUCAUAAAAUAUGCAUAUUGGUGAUGGGGGUAUUUGUUUCUGGGUUCAUAUGAGUGAAGUGUGUUUGGACUUUGGAAAUCCUACAUGGCGGGUGUGGGAGACUUUUGGGAUUUGCUUUGUCUGAAUGGGGUUUAGCUUCUUGAUGCUGCCUCUUGCCUUUGCAUUCUUGUAUUUCUCGGUUGCCGUGUAAUUCUCAUAUAUAAUUGCCGCAAUUUCAUUAAAAUAUGUAUUGGAUUCAGUUUCAUACAUGUUUUGAACGAGUGCUAAUUGCCACCUUCCAAUAAAUUUUCUUUUUUUACAUAGUUAGGGGUGACAUAUUGAAGUACGUAACUUCGUAACCUACAUGUGUAGCUAGUAAAUCUUUUUAUAUCAUAUCUAAGUGCUAAUUAUAUUCAUGAUGAUUCAAUAUGACAAGUCAAAUUAAAAAGAAAAUCAGACCAUGUAAUGAACUUAGCCAUGCGUGAUGAAUAGCGCGAGAGACCUUGUUAAGUUUAGUUACAACACCAAUUUAAUGGAUACUUAGUAGCUUAAAAGAAUAGUUCAGAAUAAAAUAUUUAUUGUUAUUAUGAAAUUUUAUUNNNNNNNNNNNNNNNNNNNNNNNNNNNNNNNNNNNNNNNNNNNNNNNNNNNNNNNNNNNNNNNNNNNNNNNNNNNNNNNNNNNGCAGAAAAAUCACAAGCAAUAAAAUUUUCUUUUUAAAUUACUAUUUAUUUAUUAGCUUCUAACUAAAAUAACAUGCCUUUGAAUAUUACGUAGAAAAAUAAAAUCUCUCUUAAUAUUAUCAUUACGGGAAUAAAUAUAUACCUCUAAAAAGUUUCGGAAUAAUUGUUUUUUGCUUAUAAUAAGAUAUAGAGACAAAUAUUUAUGCCUUCAAAUAAAAAAUCAGAAGAAAUUAUUUUUAUCUUCAAAAAUAGUUUAGAAGAUAAAUAAUUGUCAUUUAAAAUAGUAAUAAGCUACUAAAAUAAAAAUUAUUAUUUAUUUAGUGACUAAUGAUAUUAGUUAUCUUUAAAAAGAUUUGACGACAAGAGCAUUUGAUAAAAUAUUUGCCUCUAAAGGUUUUCAAAGACUAUUAAAUAUGAUAUAGAGACAUUUAACCUAUGUCUUUAUACUUAUAUUUUGUUGUAGUGACACAACGUCCGUAUAGACAAGUGAAAACAAAUGAAUUAUCACGACAUGUAUUUUUCUUGGUGACGUGAACAAAACAUUCGUAUCAGGCAGUAAAACAAACGUACCGUCACGACCUGUGUUCAUCCCGAUGGGACGUGAAUAAAACACUUGUAUCAUACACAAAAAACCAAAAAAAACGAAACAAAGAUUAUAGUGAAGAAUAUAAAAAUCUAGAACAACAAAAUUCACAAGAACUCGAAAAACACGAAGAACACGAAAAACAAAAGUUUAAAAUAUAGCUCACCUACCUUUUCGAAUUUUGUGUUGCACUGUUUUAGUGUUUCUUCGUGGAAAGAUCUGUCAAAGAAAUCGAGAGAGAAAAACUCAGAUCAAACAAAACCUUAAGAACUCGAAGAAUACGAAUAACAAGAGCAAAUAAAUGGAGAGAACCCAUAUUUUCGAGGUUUGUUUACACUCUUUUAGUAUUUUCUUGUGCAAAAAUCCAUCUUGAUAAUGCUAAAAUCCAUCUUGAAGAGCAAAAAAUAAACUCAGAUUUAGCAUUUAUUCAAAAAAAAUGAN
rnacentral:lncRNA from 1 species